GGUCAGAGCUCUGGGCCUGGAAGUCUCCUUCCCUUCCUUGCACUAUUUAAAGUUUGUUCUUCCAGUAACUCAAUUCCUCCCCAUCUUACUCUCUGACACAGGAGACGGACGCAGGACUACCGUAUUUUCCCCGCGAUGCUGUUUAUGAAGACUACCCACAGAAAGUAGGAGUAAAAGACAAAGCAAGUGGGUUUCUGAGGAAGGGAAGUACGUGGAAGGCGGCAGCAACCUAGAAGAAUGUAGGUGCCCUUCACGACAGCACCAAGCAUCAUGCAGCAGCUCUCCGUAGGAAGUACGAUUUGUUGUAUGCAAGCUGGUCCCAGAUAAGCUUGAGACAAGACGAACUAUCCGUAACAGACCGACAAAGCAAUUUAAAAAUACAAAAAUAUUCCAUG